CUGUAAAGAGGGGAAUAACCCCGGAGAAAUCCGGACUAAGUACCGCAUAAGUACUUAGAAUCCGCAUGGAUUUUAAGUUAAACAUUUAUGGCUUACAGAUGGGCAUGCGUAUGAUUAGCUGGUUGGAGAGGUAACGGCUCCCCAAGGCAACGAUCAUUAGGGGUUCUGAGAGGAAGGUCCCCCACACUGGUACUGAGACACGGACCAGACUCCUACGGGAGGCAGCAGUGAGGAAUAUUGGUCAAUGGACGCAAGUCUGAACCAGCCAAAAGUCGCGUGAAGGAAGAAUGUCCUAUGGAUUGUAAACUUCUUUUGAAGGGGAAUAAAGUACGGUACGUGUACCGUUUUGUAUGUACCCUUCGAAUAAGGAUCGGCUAACUCCGUGCCAGCAGCAGC
rnacentral:rRNA from 1 species